CAGGAAAAAGAGAGAGACAAGUUCUAGUCUUAAUCAGCCUUCCAUCACUGAGGAAGCAGAGGAGAGGGGAAUAAUCUCCUACAGAGAGUACGGCAAUGUAAAUUAACCUGAAACACGUCAGCAUUCAGCGAGGAGUUUGGAAACUAUGAUGAUCUAAUAGCCUAAAGACAGAGUCUAGGAAAUUAACCCAAGGACAUGCAAGGGAAGAGAAGAGGACUGAGGGGAGAGGCUGCAGAUUGGCAAAAGAAAAGGAGUGAGAAAAAAAGCAUCAUGCAAACCUUACACACAAGGGGCCAGGUUUAUUGCUUGGAAGAGAAAACACCUCUUGCCUAGUGCAGCAUAUGGCCAACAAGAAUCAUGGCAGCAUCUGAGAAUGCAGCAAGCCUUGAAGCAAACUGAAUCGGG